ensembl:snRNA U4 U4 spliceosomal RNA
AGCUUUUUGCAGUGGCAGUAUCGUAGCCAAUGAGGUUCACCCAAGGCGCGAUUAUUGCUGAUUGAAGACUUUUCCCAAUACCCCACCAUGACGACUUGAAAUAUUGUUGGCAUUGGCAACUUUUGGCAGUCUCUGUGGGA